rnacentral:misc_RNA from 1 species
UCGUAACAAGGUUUCCGUAGGUGAACCUGCGGAAGGAUCAUUACCGAGUGAGGGCCCUUUGGGUCCAACCUCCCACCCGUGUUUAUUUUACCUUGUUGCUUCGGCGGGCCCGCCUUUACUGGCCGCCGGGGGGCUCACGCCCCCGGGCCCGCGCCCGCCGAAGACACCCUCGAACUCUGUCUGAAGAUUGAAGUCUGAGUGAAAAUAUAAAUUAUUUAAAACUUUCAACAACGGAUCUCUUGGUUCCGGCAUCGAUGAAGAACGCAGCGAAAUGCGAUACGUAAUGUGAAUUGCAAAUUCAGUGAAUCAUCGAGUCUUUGAACGCACAUUGCGCCCCCUGGUAUUCCGGGGGGCAUGCCUGUCCGAGCGUCAUUGCUGCCCUCAAGCCCGGCUUGUGUGUUGGGCCCCGUCCUCCGAUUCCGGGGGACGGGCCCGAAAGGCAGCGGCGGCACCGCGUCCGGUCCUCGAGCGUAUGGGGCUUUGUCACCCGCUCUGUAGGCCCGGCCGGCGCUUGCCGAUCAACCCAAAUUUUUAUCCAGGUUGACCUCGGAUCAGGUAGGGAUACCCGCUGAACCUAAGCAUAUCU